AAUCUUAAGAGCACUCAACCUCAGACUACAACAACACAGAUCUCAGAUCUGCAGUAGAGAUUCCCUCAUCUCAGCUCAUCACAAGAUAAUGCAAAAACAGAAUUUAAAGAAAAUUAAUGCAUGGCAGAAGAUCUAUGGAGCAUCACAAACUGCAGGAGAAUUAAAAAUUAAGACAAGAGAGGAAGAGGAAAAUGGCAAAGAAAGAUUAUGGGAUACAAAUCCAGGAGAGAAACAGAUCCUGAGAGUCAGACGAAACAGCAUUAACAGUGGAAAACCAAACUUUUCUCAAGAUCCAGACAGUUUCAUUCUGAUGUUUCAGAUGACUCACAUGUGACUCACAGAUGAGGUGUAGUUCAUUUUACCUGACCAGCAAAAUAUUUCUUAAUAUUCAAUCACACAUUACGCAAUGCAUAUUUUAUAUUUCUUAUAUUUUAGCAAUAUUCAAAAUAAUAUAGACCUAAAUGAUACAUCAACUAUCAGGUAUAUAGUUAAAGAUAUAGGGAAUGUAUGUCAUAAAUAUAUUUAUAUAUAAUGUCUCUUCACAUCCUAAUAGCUAUCUAUUAUUAUAGUUGUCUAAAUAUUAAUAAACAAAAACAUGCUAAAGUCUCAGGUCCAUAAAAUAUUUGUCCAAUCAGCUCUCACGUUUUCAAGUUUAGACAAGCUGUAAACAUGUCUAAAAAUUUUGACAGCAGGGGAAGGAGCAACGGACGAAAGGGACAGUUGCAAGUUUGUUUGAAAGCAUUUAUUUUUAUAAUUGAGGUGCCACUAGUGUUGCAGAAACUACAUACUUAAAAUCAGGUGCUAUUACAGCUACGAUAUAUCACGAUAAUGAAUAUACACAAUAUUGUUAUCGUGGGAACUUCAAAAUACCGUGAAUAAUUAUUAUUAUGAAUUAUGAAUAUUUAUACUUUAAAAAUACUUUCCCCAUCAACCGUAUAAAAUGCACAACACUGCUGUUUUCUGCGUCAAAAGAACACGCGCUCAGAUGUAAACAAGCCCAACAUGCAUAUGAAGCACAUGGCGGAACGAGUGAAGGAGACGCGCUGAAUGAAAGUGCACGUUCACUCUCUGACAGCAGAGGGCGCUGAUGGAACAGCAGAAGUGCAGCGGUUACCCCAGAAACAAAACAACUGCGCUAGUGAACAGUUUUUAAAAUGCUUCAAACAGCUAUUCAUUUUUUUGUAAUCUCAAUGUUGUUCAUCACAGCACCAAAUACUUAAUACUUAAAGACUUAACAGGCUAUUUACUUUCAAACUUAAACAUUUUUAUAUUUUAAUCUGGACUACAACAUGCCCUAAUGAUUGAAAAUGUUCUGAUUAUUUGUUAUUGUUCUGUAACACUUAGUGACAUAAGGCUUCAUUAACAAAUUCAUUAUUACCAAACUGACAAUGAAAAAUACUUAUAAAGCAAUAAUUUAAACAACUUAUUUAAUGGACCUGAGCUAAAACUAACAAUGAUCAGUUGUAUUUUUUAACAUUAACGAAAAAUAAUAACUUCUGUAACAAAUUGCUCAUUCUUAAUCUUAGUUAAUGCAUUAACUAAUGUUAAAUAAUGAGACCUUAUUGUAAAGUGUUAACUGUUGUUCUUUAUAAUUCUUUUGCACAUGAAACAUUUUACUUUAGAUUUUUUUUUAUGUAUUGUAUUGUGUUAUUGUAUUUAAAUGUUCUUUCUGUUAUAAGAACCUGUAUGACAACACUUUUUUGCAACUUAUUUCAAUAUCGUGAUAAUACCGUAUACCGUGAUGAAAGCUUCAGCAUUUAUCGCAACAUGAAAAUUUGAUACCGUCACAUGCCUAAUUACAGCAUAAGAUGUGAAUGAAGGAGUUUUCUGAAAGAAUCUGAUUAUCACUGUAAUCACUGUUUUUAAUGCUUGAAAAGAUGCUAUAUAUAGGAGCAACAGUAUUUAUUUUUGCACAUUUUUAAAACUGAUUACAACAUUUUAAAAUAAUAAAAAUAUGUAUAUGUUUUUUUUUUUUUAAUGUAAUGAUUCUGUAUUUGCCUGUGGCACACAGUCUUUCUAUUUCAAAACUGCAUAUUUUGUUUAAUGUGCACUUCCUUUGUAAUUAACUGUGAAAUUUAUGAGUGCAAAUCGUUUCUGUGCCAAAUAGUUUUCAGUGUACUCCUCCUAACUGUUAUUAUCCUGAUAAGCACAAUUCACUUGUGAGUGGAUGUAUAAUAUCAUACAAAAGGAAUGAUUGACAGGACUGAGUCAACCUGUGAUUCAACAGCUUGGAUCCAUGCGGAUCAGAGGAAAACACCUGCUGAACAUGAACAUUCUUGAGAUUUAUGGUUAGAAAGUGUUUUUUGGCACUAUGUAACCUUCAAAACCCUCAUGGCUUGUGAUUCACUGUGAUUCUCCAUGUCAUUACAAGAGCCUGCAGGUAUCUGCAGGUAAAGACAUUUCAUGUUUUUAAUAACUCAUGCAUCUAUUUUGAAUUACUGUAGCCUAUAAUGAUGACAGUACACUGUAAUAUCUUUGCUUCAUGUUUAGGUUUAAUUGAGAACAGGCUAGUUGUCCCAUUGGGAAGUUUUCACACAGCUUUAAUUUCAACAACUAACUCAGGGCUUUGAGUCAAAAGUACAUUUAGUCAAUUUUUCAUUUUCAAAUAGCUCAUUUUAAACUGAAUUGAGAUAUUCUAAAGUACAAUUUCAAUAGCAUCAUAUUUUUUUGUAAUUGUUGUUUGAUUAACACAAUAAAACCCCUUUGACAUCAAGACAAGAA